GGCCCGACGCGAGCACGUUGAGUGGCGGGGGCCGGCUGAAGAACUGCCCGAGCGAGGAGCGGCCCCUCGGGCAGGGCAGCACUGUCGGGGCGCCCACUUCGGCGCUCCAAAGAGCUGCUGGGUCAGGAGCGCGGCCCGCGGCCACGGGGGGAGGGGAGUGGGUGGGCUGAGAGUAACUGGGCGGCGAGGCCAGCCCGCCGCCCCUUCCCCCCUCGCCCGACGACCUUGUGGGUAGAAGCUUCCCGGAGCUCCUCACGGCGGCGCGAUGGCGACUGCUGCAGAGACGGAGGCUUCGCCGCCGACGGACGCGAGCUGGGAAAGCGGCGGCGGCGGCGGCAACGAAGAGAUGAAGCAGGAGCUUCCGGAGCAUGAAUCGUCCCCACAAAAUGGCGGCGGCGGCGGCCUCCUCAUCGCCGAGCCCGGCGGCGGCGGCGGCGGCGGCGGCGGCGGCGGCGGCGGGCCCGAGGAGACCGCGGGGGCCGAGGCCGCCCAGAGCUUCAGCCACGAGCAGCUUCAGGACUCCUCUGAGGCGGGCGCGGCAGCUCUGCCCAAAGGCCCGGAAGAGCCCGAAAGGCCAAUUAGGAGGAGUUUUCAGAUCCCCAGGAAGAGCAGAGAAAAGAAAGCGCUUUUCCAGCCAUUAACUUCAGGCUCUCGAGAAUUUGAAGAUGUUUUAAAUAUUCUCCAUUCAUCUUACCUUGAACCAACCUCAGUAGCAAAUUUUAACUACAAACGUGCUUGCUUGAUACAUAAUGAGCUCUUGGAAAAGGAGUUUACAGAAAAGCGAAGAGAACUGAAGUCUGAUGGUCGCUUAGAUAAGGAACUUUCAGAAUCCUAUGCAUUUCUUAUGGUUGAUCGAUACCAGGUUCAAAGCAUAUGUGAAAAAGGAUUACAGGUGGGCCAGUCCAAAAUAACAAUUCUUGGCAGUCCUUCCAUGGGUAUCUAUCUUUGUAGGUAUGCUGAUUUAUUGCAAGCUAAUCCCCUGGAAGCUGGGGCAGUGGGUGAUGUUAUUAUUUUUAAAAUAAUGAAGGGUAAAAUAAAGAGUAUAUAUGAUCCCAUGGGUGUUAAAAGUUUGGAAUCUAUGUUAAGUAAAAGUGCUUUGGACCCAACACCAAAGCAUGAAUGUCAUGUGUCGAAGAAUGCUUGUAGAAUUACAUCACUUUUGGCAUACAGAGCCUAUGAGCUUACACAGUAUUAUUUUUAUGAGUAUGGCUUUGAUGAACUAAGGCGAAGACCUAGACACGUAUGUCCAUAUGCAGUUGUGUCUUUUACUUAUAAAGAUGAUAUACAAUCACCAAAGUUUGCAACUUCAUCAAGAUCCAACAGCUUUAAUGUGGAUAGAAACGUAGAUAAAUUUAACUACACCUUAUGGAAAGGACAGCUUUUAAAUAAAGGAAAACUUCUUUGUUACAUUUCUUUGAGGUCACCCACUCGAGCUUUUUUGCCUAUCAAGCUUCCUGAGAAGUUAGAUGUUGAAACAGUUAUGAGUAUUGAUCAUCUGAAACAGAAAAUCCCUCCAGCACUGUUUUAUAAGGAAACGUACUUAGGCCCAAAUGAAGUUUUGAAGAAUGGAAUGUACUGCAGUCUUUAUGAAGUUGUAGAAAAGACAAGGAUUGGAAGUAACAUGGAGAAUUUACUGCAAAAACUAGAGAAAGAAAAGCUUGUUCUUGUUAAACCUUUGGGAGACCGAGGAUACCUUUUUCUUCUUUCUCCUUAUCAGAUGGUUCCUCCAUAUGAACAUCAGAGUGUCAAGUCUCGAGUCCUACAUGCUUUGUUCCUAUUUCAAGAACCUAGAGGCAUAAUUACUUCACAAAAAGUUACAACCAGUGCAGCACCACAAGAGAGGCAUGAGAGCAUGCCAGGUGUAUUAAAAAUAGCCCAAUUUUUACAGUUUUUUUUGAUUCAGUGUCGAAAGGAAUUCAAAAAUAUAAACACUAUAAAUUUUCAUUCUGUUGUUGAAAAGUAUGUAAGUGAAUUUUUUAAGCGAGGUUUUGGUUCAGGUAAACGAGAGUUUAUCAUGUUUCCAUAUGAUUCAAAAUUAGAUGAUAAAAAAUUCUUAUACUCAGCUCCAAAAAAUAAAUCCCAUAUUGAUAAUUGUUUGCAUACUUAUAUUUUUCGUCCUGAAAUGUAUCAGUUACCUAUUUGCAAAUUAAAAGAUUUAUUUGAAGAAAAUAGAAAACUUCAACAAUUUAGUCCACUUUCAGAUUAUGAAGGUCAAGAAGAAGAAAUGAAUGGUACAAGACUGAAAUUUAGAAAACGAAAUAGCUCAAGGGGUGAAACUAUUAUACCUGGGAAGCAAAAGUCAUCUCAUUCUUUGGAUUAUGAUAAAGAUAGAGUCAAAGAAUUGAUUAACUUAAUUCAGUGCAGGAAAAAGAAUGUGGGUGGGGACUCAGAUACAGAAGAUAUGAGAAGCAAAACUGUCUUGAAGAGGAAACUUGAGGAUCUACCUGAACAUAUGAGAAAACUUGCCAAAACCAGUAAUUUAUCUGAAAGUUACCAUCUGUAUGAAGAGUCUUCCCAGCCUGUUAGCUCUCUUGGGCAUGAUGCUGACGUGAGACAGCAGCAGCAGGAUACCUGUAACUCUGGCACUGACAUCCAUAGGCUGUUUAAUUGGCUGUCAGAAACACUAGCAAAUGCACGCCAUUCUGAUGCAUCCCUGACAGACACAGUCAACAAAGCCUUAGGACUGAGCACUGAUGCUGCCUAUGAAGAGCUGAGGCAUGAGUAUGAGUUGAGUUCUACACCAGAUAAGAAAGAAUAUGAGCACCCUACUUGUACGAAAAUUGAAAAUGUACAUUUUAAGGCCACUCAGAGCCCAUUGCUAGAAGUUGAUAAAGCAUCUUUAAAGUAUCCUGUCUCUGUUUGUUCCAGUGAAGUAGGCACAGAGCAUAAGCUACAUUUGAAAGAAGAUCCAAAUAUAAUUAGCAUGAAUAAUUUUGAAGAUUGCAGUUUGUGUCCCACUAUUCCUUUUGAACAUGGAUUCUGUAAACAGUCAUUGAAAUCAGAUGAUGUUGAGGAGACUGAAAUACAUUGGAAACUGAUUCCAAUUACAGGAGGGAAUUCAAGAAGCCCAGAAGACCAGCAGGGGAAACACGGUGAGAAACAAACAUCAGGUAUGAAAUCACCAGAAGAACAACUGGUGUGUCUGCCACCGCAGGAGACCUUUCCUAACGACCCUCGGGUAAUAAGUAGACAGAGAAGUUCUGAUUACCAGUUUCCAUCCUCUCCAUUUACAGACACACGUAAGAGCACCACUGAGGAUGACGCGUUGACAGGUCAGGUGGUGACAGUGGAGGAGCAGUGUGUGCCAGCAGCAGAGCCGCCUGCAGUGAGCGAAACCACAGAGAGAACAGUGUUAGGAGAGUACAAUCUCUUUUCUAGGAAGAUAGAAGAGAUUUUGAAGCAAAAGAAUGUUUCAUAUGUUAGCAGAAUUUCCACACCAAUCUUUUCAACACAAGAGAAGAUGAAACGGCUUUCUGAGUUCAUAUAUUCUAAGACUUCCAAAGCUGGUGUACAGGAGUUUGUAGAUGGCUUGCAUGAGAAACUAAAUACCAUUAUUAUUAAAGCAUCAGCCAAGGGUGGGAAUUUGCCACCAGUCAGUCCUAAUGAUUCUGGUACUAAGAUAGCCUUGAAUCCUUUGGGAAGGCCUGUCAUACCAGCAUCCUCAAGUGACUUCAACAGUAAACACCUUCUUGAGCCACUUUUUAGUGAUGCUUUGAAAGACACCAACUCUAAUGAACAGCAUUCCUCUUCGACUUUGAGUUUAACUGAAGUAGAAAUGAACCAGCCACACCAUGCUACAGAGUUAACGAUGACUUCUGAUCAUACUGUACCUGGUGAUAUUGCCCGGGAACCAGUAGAAAAAGAAACCGCAAAAUCACCCAGUGAUGUAAACAUUUCUGCCCAACCAGCUCUGUCAAAUUUUAUAAGCCAGUUAGAACCUGAAGUAUUUAAUAGUUUGGUUAAAAUCAUGAAAGAUGUCCAGAAAAAUACUGUGAAAUUUUAUAUUCAUGAAGAAGAGGAGAGUGUGCUCUGUAAAGAAAUAAAGGAAUAUCUUACCAAGUUAGGUAAUACUGAAUGUCAUCCAGAACAGUUUUUGGAAAGAAGAUCACAGUUAGAUAAACUGUUGAUUAUUAUUCAAAAUGAAGACAUUGCAGACUUCAUUCACAAGGUACCUGGCUUAGUGACUUUAAAGAAGCUCCCCUGUGUUAGUUUUGCUGGCGUUGAUAGCCUGGAUGAUGUAAAAAAUCAUACAUACAACGAAUUAUUUGUAUCUGGAGGAUUUAUUGUUUCUGAUGACUCAAUUCUAAAUCCAGAAGUUGUCACAGUGGAGAACCUUAAAAAUUUUUUGACAUUCCUUGAAGAACUUAGUACUCCAGAAGGAAAAUGGCAAUGGAAAAUCCACUGUAAAUUUCAGAAAAAACUAAAGGAACUGGGCAGAUUGAAUGCUAAAGCGCUAAGUCUGUUGACACUUCUGAAUGUCUAUCAGAAAAGACAUCUGGUUGAAAUUUUGUCAUACCAUAAUUGUGAUUCACAAACUCGAAAUGCUCCUGAAUUGGACUGCCUUAUCAGACUUCAGGCUCAGAAUAUACAACAACGACAUAUCAUCUUUUUAACAGACAAGAACAUCAAGAUGCCUUCCAGUUAUACAGAUAACGGAAUAGUGGUUGCAACUGCUGAAGAGUUUAUGCAAAACUUUAAAAAUCUUGUGGGCUAUCAUAACUCAGUCACAGAAGAAAAUUUUCCACUGCUUGGUGCUAAUGAAAACCUUGAGUCACAGUCAGAUGCUGUUUUGACAUUAACCCCUUUGGAGCUGGGAGUUGGGAUUUCCCAACAUUAAACGUGAACACAUUUCGCAGAAGCUUUUAGCAUCGGAUUAUCUGGACAUUCACACCUAGUGUGAGUGUUGUGAAUAAAUGAACUUGUGGCAGAAGACCAAGCUUUAAGGGAUUGUGGACUUGCAGACCCUGACGCAUUAUAUUGUGAUUUAUUUUUUUGGAAGGUGGAAUUACAGAGACGGAAGGACAGACAGAGGGAAUAACUUCCAUUUGUUGGCUUACUUCCCAAAUGGCUGUGAUGGUAGGAGCUUGGCCAGUCUGAAGCCAGGAGCCAAGAACACCAUCUCCAUCUCCCAUUUGGGGGCAGGGGCCCAGGUAUGUGGGCCAUCUUCCUUUGCUUUCCCAGGUACAUUAGUAGGGAGCUGGAUCAGAAGCAGAGCAGCUGGGACUCAAACUACAGCUGGGAUCUGGCAUCAAUGGUAACAACCCACUGUGCCACAACACCAGCCCCCUUCUCAUUAUCUAUUAUUUUCAUCUACUUGAAAGCCACAGCAACAGAUAGACAGCCAUUUCUUCCAUCCACUGGUCCACUUCCUAGAUGCCUAAAACAAGCAGGUUUAGGCCUGGCCAAAUCCAGGAGUCUGGAACUCCAUCAGGAUCUCCCACAUGGGUGGCAGGGGCCCAAGCACGUACUGCUUUCCAGUAUGCAGCAGUAAGAAGCUGGAUCAGAGCUGGAGUGGCUGGGACUUGAUACGGAAUGUGCUUUGACAGAGCAUGCAGGCAUCCCAAGCAGUACUUAACCCACUGUACCAAAGUCCUGCUCAGACCUCCUCAGCAUAGAGGACAAAACUAUUCAGCAUUUGUGAACUACAUCACAUGAAAUAUAAACCCUUCUCAAGCCUUUUCUGUAAUUUCCUAACUUUCCUCAAAGCUUUAAUGUUUCCACAAAUAGGUCCAUAAUUUCAAAGUACAUGCUGUAGAUAAUCAGCUCGACAUUUUAGACAAAACUGCCUUCCUGCCCUUUAGGUGGCCUUGGAGGUUAUCUCAUUAAGAUAACUUGCACAUUAUAUCUCUUCUCUUAAGCCCAUUACAUCUCUUAAGAAUGUUAAUGUUUCCAGAAAAAGUCCAGGGCAUCUUAAUCAGCUAUGGGCCACCUCUGUCUUUAAAACCCUUUUGUCACCACCUUGUAGUGCAGGGAUACAUUAUCUGAUGGCCAACAGAGACCACAAUUCUAUUAAGUCCUCUAAGUAAAUUACACUGUAGAUAAUCUUGGAUUUUUUUUUUUUUCAGUCUCAUACCACCCCUCAUGGCUGCCUUAGUGCCUAUUGUUUCGUAAGUAUAAGAGGGGCAAACUCAAGAACCUGAAAAUGGUAUACUUAUGUGUCAAACAAGGGGAACCCAAGUGUCGGGAUGGCUACUGCAAUACGACCUGCUAUGGGGUAUGGGGAAAUCAGAGCAGCCAAUGGCAGAAUUGUGUGUGGUAUGGCAAACACUGGCUCCUAAGCCAUGGCUGUUGGCUGUUUGUACUGACAGUUGGGCAGUGUACCAAAACCUUACUCUGAACGGCAAAAGGGAAAGCAGAACAAUGGCCUAUAUUAGGAACGCGUCUCUAGGGACGUGUGAUGUUGCGACAAAUGUCAGAAUGGCUAGAGAACCUGAGUUACAAUUAAGUGUUUAGCACGUAUUUGCUCAUGUUAAGACCUCCACUUCCGGGAACAUGAAGGUGUCAGAGGCCAGAGCCAUGCCAUGACAGACUUCUCACAAGAAAAAAAAACUUACUAGGCCCAGGAUGCGCCUGGUAUGAGAAGAUGAAACCUGACACUGGACAGUCCUUCGUCUGGUUCGGCAGGACCAGGUAGAGGCAACCAAUAAGGUGGGCCGUCCUUGGUCCUGCAGGGCCAGAAGGAAGGAAUGCGGAUGUAAUACUUGUUUGCCUGGGAACUAUAAAAACCCCGAGAGCAUAAACAAGGGGGUCUUGGUCUCCCAGCACUGCAUUGCACGGGAGGCUGGGCCCCAGCAUGCUGGACCUACAAAUAAAGUCCCUUUGUUCUUGCAUUACGGUGAGUCUCACUGGUUCUUUCCAUCUGGGCAAUCCGGAACACAACAAAGGCAGAUGCUUUAAUUCAAGUACAGUCCCUGGUCCCAACCCAAAUGGCUUAUCUGGCCCCAUGGGUACACAGUACGAGCUCAAGGAAGAUGGGACAUAAUUAAGGGCAUGCAGUCAUGAGUCAAAUGUUACAGGGGUCUGUGCCUUGGGCCCCACCACCUGUCCUACAUGUAUGUACUUCAGGAACUGAUCCUACAUCAUGCUAACCUAUCCAAGAUUGGCAGGUUUGUUACACUGGCCCUUCGACAAACAGUAAGUGACAUAGAUACUCUAACCUGUGUAACUAUACCUACUGGCCUUAAGCAGCCCUUUGGUUAACAAGAAAGACAAUUAAAAUGCCACAUUAAAGGUCUUAAAAGUUAAACAUGAUGUUUGUGUAGUACCCACUGCUGCAUUGACAGUGGCCAAGGCACUCAAAUCACACCACAGUGGUUCAUGAAGCACUUUCAUCUGCUAGAUAAAAAAGCAGCAGAGUUGGUGUCAAGAAAAAAAUGUUCAAUAGACAGGCGUUCUAUUAGGUAAACCUUCAGAUAGCUGCACUACAGUCUGCAGAAAAGUGUUA